rnacentral:lncRNA from 1 species
AUGUGGGGAGAGCGCUCCCUCUCGGCUUCCCGCAGCUGGCCCUUAGAGAUCCCCUGGCGCCCCACAGUCUUCUCUUUCGAGGGACCCCUCACCUGCCCCAGGGUGGCCACUGACAACCGUCUCAAGUGGUGUCCCCGCUUCCUGAGCCCCUUUGACACCGCCCUCGCGGUCCCUCUGAGUCCCGGCCCCGGGCUGUUCCUACACUUCGCCUCGGCGCUUGGGGUGGGACCGGAAGGAGUCCUAGGUGCCGAUCCUCCUCUCUCCCCAUCUGUGUGUGCCGCUGUGGAUCCUUUUCUGCUCUCUUAUAUGCGACGGUCCCCGCGGCUGACGCCUCUGCUCCAGUCCCUCCUGCCCCACCAGGUCUGGUUAUCCUUCUGGGGUUAUUGGAUCCCCACCCCCAAACCCCCACCACAUCAAAGCAGGCUGCAGGGGGCAUUGGGAGAAGCCAGAGAAAGAUACCGAUCGACCCAGCCAUCCGGUUCACUCAGGUCAGUGGGACAGCCCUUCUUUGUUGGCCCAAACCUGAAUCUAGAACUCUUCGUUCUAGCACGUUCUUUCUCCCCAGGCUUGCAUUUUCAGUCUUUUGACUCUAAAUGGAUGCUUUUGUCUCCAUUUAAAGGAAUCCCAGGAAUUAUAUUCCUGUUAUCAUUUUUCUUUCAUCUCUCCACGGUCCCUUGCGUCUUUCCCUUUUAUCUGUAUAUUCCACUCACUUCACCUGCCCCUAGAAUUAGUCAUUCCAUUCUGUUGAUCUUAUGUUGUUACCUGUCCUUGGAAAGAAAAAAAAAAAAGGUGGUUUUGCUGACUUGCAUUUUAACUUUGUGUCAAAAGAAUUGUAUUAUUUCUCAAGUUUUUUUUUCAUUCGGUGCUAGGAUUUCAAGAUCAAUACGCAUAGGUGUCUCUUCUAAGGCUGUGCUUAUCCACCCAAUUUUACUUUUCCCAUCUCCUGCCAUGACCUAUGGUCCACUCCUCCCUCUCAAACAUAUCCCUUUUUGUGCAAAGCUUCUCAAACAUUUGUGUCCAUGUGUAUCACUCGGGAUCCCGUUAAAAUGCAGGUUCAGAUUCCGCAAGCCUGGGGUGGGGCCUGACAUUCUGCAUUUCUAG